rnacentral:rRNA from 1 species
UACGAAGGGGGCUAGCGUUGCUCGGAAUCACUGGGCGUAAAGGGUGCGUAGGCGGGUCUUUAAGUCAGGGGUGAAAUCCUGGAGCUCAACUCCAGAACUGCCUUUGAUACUGAGGAUCUUGAGUUCGGGAGAGGUGAGUGGAACUGCGAGUGUAGAGGUGAAAUUCGUAGAUAUUCGCAAGAACACCAGUGGCGAAGGCGGGUUGCUGGGCUGAUACUGACGCUGAGGUGCGAAAGCGUGGGGAGCAAACAGG